UGACAGACUCCUUGCAGCUGUUGAUAACUCCCAGCACGUCAUAGCGAGAUACCCAUCCUCCAAGCCCUUCAGUUUGGAACUGAGAGCAAUGGUGGGAAGCAGGAGCUGUGGUGAAGAGCACUGGAGCACUUGGGAGACAUUCAGAAAUAUAGGAUGCAAUCCCUACCCUUGGGCUCACAGUCUAAUGGGGAAGACAAGCUGGUCAUAAAUCAUUAUUUACCUGGCUUGCUGGAAACACACCCACUGACCUCUGUCUCCCUGGUAAGUAAGAAAGGUCAGUAUGAGCUCCAGUUUAUUCUUUCUGUACUGUAAAACUGCUGUCUCCUUCUCCUUGGGUGUUUUUUCUAUCCAUCAAUGAGAACCAACCAAGGCAGAUACCUACUAACCCUAUCCUCUUCCAUCACACUCUUGCAUACUUUCUCCCUUUCUCCCCCUCUCUUUCUCCCUCUCUUUCUUUGUCUUUCUCUCUGUCAUUCUCUUUCUCUUUAUUUCUCUGUCCUUCCCUCUCUAUUCAGUGUGUACUCUACCGUUUUCAUGUGAUUCAGUAUCUAGGCUCAGGUCAAAGAAAGUCUAACUGCUGUAACUUCAGAGUUGUGGGGAGAUGAGGUCUGGGGAGAUAAAUUAGGA